rnacentral:rRNA from 1 species
GUGGGGAAUAUUGGGCAAUGGGGGAAACCCUGACCCAGCGACGCCGCGUGAGGGAAGAAGGCCUUAGGGUCGUAAACCUCUGUUGUGUGGGAAGAAGAGCGUGACGGUACCACACGAGGAAGUCCCGGCUAACUACGUGCCAGCAGCCGCGGUAAUACGUAGGGGACGAGCGUUGUCCGGAUUUACUGGGCGUAAAGGGCGCGUAGGAGGUCAUUUAAGUCAGCUGGGAAAUGGUUUGGCUUAACCGGAUCAUGCGGUUGAAACUGGAUGACUGGAGUGCUGGAGAGGCAAGUGGAAUUCCCAGUGUAGCGGUGAAAUGCGUAGAUAUUGGGAAGAACACCGGUGGCGAAGGCGACUUGCUGGCCAGCAACUGACGCUGAGGCGCGAAAGCCAGGGGAGCAAACGGGAUUAGAAACCCCAGUAGUCC